GCGUGAGAAAUAGAGGAAGUGUUCUUCCUCUCAAGUAUGAGCUGUGGGUUCUAGGAUUUCAUCUCUAAGUUUUAUGAGAAGAAAAAUAUAAGAGUGAGUCUUGUCCAAUCUUCCACACCACCACCUCAUUAAGCAUUAUCUUUUGAUCCAGAGGAGUCCAGGAGAUCCGAAGAAAAGAGCUUGGAUCAGCUAUCCAGAGCCUUUGACGUGAGCUAGCACUCC
rnacentral:lncRNA from 1 species